rnacentral:rRNA from 1 species
UACAGAGGGUGCAAGCGUUGUUCGGAAUUAUUGGGCGUAAAGCGCGUGUAGGCGGCUUGGCAAGUCGGGUGUGAAAGCCCUCAGCUCAACUGAGGAAGUGCGCCCGAAACUGCCGAGCUUGAGUACCGGAGAGGAUGGUGGAAUUCCCGAAGUAGAGGUGAAAUUCGUAGAUAUCGGGAGGAACACCGGUGGCGAAGGCGACCGUCUGGACGGAUACUGACGCUGAGACGCGAAAGCGUGGGUAGCAAACAGG